GAUGAACGCUGGCGGUGUGCCUAAUACAUGCAAGUCGAGCGAAUGGAUUAAGAGCUUGCUCUUAUGAAGUUAGCGGCGGACGGGUGAGUAACACGUGGGUAACCUGCCCAUAAGACUGGGAUAACUCCGGGAAACCGGGGCUAAUACCGGAUAACAUUUUGAACCGCAUGGUUCGAAAUUGAAAGGCGGCUUCGGCUGUCACUUAUGGAUGGACCCGCGUCGCAUUAGCUAGUUGGUGAGGUAACGGCUCACCAAGGCAGCGAUGCGUAGCCGACCUGAGAGGGGGAUGGGCCCCGCAGGGACUGAGACACGGCCCAGACUCCUACGGGAGGCAGCAGUAGGGAAUCUUCCGCAAUGGACGAAAGUCUGACGGAGCAACGCCGCGUGAGUGAUGAAGGCUUUCGGGUCGUAAAACUCUGUUGUUAGGGGAGAACAAGUGCUAGUUGAAUAAGCUGGCACCUUGACGGUACCUAACCAGAAAGCCACGGCUAACUACGUGCCAGCAGCCGCAGUAA
rnacentral:rRNA from 1 species